AUUUUGCUCUUUUUGCCAUUUUCCAUUUGACACUCUCGAACUUGUACAUGAUUUCCCUGGAAUUUCCUCUGUUUCCUCGCCAGAAAUCCCAUAAUCCUAUGCUGUGUACACCACCUAUCACUUGUACCCCUGCCCUUUUUUUGGGAAUUCCUUUCCCUUGAAUCUUCAAAUUCUGAGUUCCUCCUCCAUUUGCUUAGAUGGGUAUUUAUCAAAACUUGAUUUUGAUCACAGCUUCAUUGCUUGUUAGAGUUGCUGCAGCUUGCUCCAAUGGAGAGUGCAGGCUAUUAGAUGAAUGCUCAUCGGACCAAGAUUGUG
rnacentral:misc_RNA from 1 species